AUGGUAGGAUAGAGGCCUACCAUGGUGGUAACGGGUAACGGGGUGUUAGGGCACGACACCGGAGAGGGAGCCUGAGAAACGGCUACCACAUCCNAGGAUGGCAGCAGGCGCGCAAAUUACCCAAUCCCGACACGGGGAGGUAGUGACAAUAAAUAACAAUACGGGGUUCUUUAGGAUCUCGUAAUUGGAAUGAGUACAAUUUAAAUCUCUUAACGAGGAACAAUUGGAGGGCAAGUCUGGUGCCAGCAGCCGCGGUAAUUCCAGCUCCAAUAGCGUAUAUUAAAGUUGUUGCAGUUAAAAAGCUCGUAGUUGAAUUUCGGGGUCAGUAGGUCGGUCGUGCCACUGGUAUGAACUGGUUUUACUGAUUCCUCCCUCUUGAAGAACUGUAAUGCCAUUAAUUUGGUGUUGCAGGGAAUCAGGACUGUUACUUUGAAAAAAUUAGAGUGUUUAAAGCAGGCUUUAGCUUGAAUACAUUAGCAUGGAAUAAUGAAAUAGGACGUUUGAUCCUAUUUUGUUGGUUUCUAGGAUUGACGUAAUGAUUAAUAGGGAUAGUUGGGGGCAUUAGUAUUCAAUUGUCAGAGGUGAAAUUCUUGGAUUUAUUGAAGACUAACUACUGCGAAAGCAUUUGCCAAGGAUGUUUUCAUUAAUCAAGAACGAAAGUUAGGGGAUCGAAGACGAUCAGAUACCGUCGUAGUCUUAACCAUAAACUAUGCCGACGAGGGAUCGGAUGAUGUUAAUUUUUUAAUGACUCANUCGGCGCCNUACGGGAAACCAAAGUGUUUGGG
rnacentral:rRNA from 1 species